rnacentral:rRNA from 1 species
UCCUGGCUCAGGAUGAACGCUGGCGGCGUGCUUAACACAUGCAAGUCGAACGAGGGUUACCGGUUGAAAUUUCGAAUGGAAACGGGUAAUACCUAGUGGCGGACGGGUGAGUAACGCGUGGGGAACCUGCCCCAUUCCGGGGGAUACCAGUUGGAAACGACUGUUAAUACCGCAUAAGCGCACAGUACUGCAUGGUACGGUGUGAAAAAACCACGGUGGAAUGGGAUGGCCCCGCGUCUGAUUAGCCAGUUGGCAGGGUAACGGCCUACCAAAGCGACGAUCAGUAGCCGGCCUGAGAGGGCGACCGGCCACAUUGGGACUGAGACACGGCCCAAACUCCUACGGGAGGCAGCAGUGGGGAAUAUUGCACAAUGGGGGGAACCCUGAUGCAAGCGACGCCGCGUGAGUGAAGAAGUAUUUCGGUAUGUAAAGCUCUAUCAGCAGGGAAGAAGAUGACGGUACCUGCACAAGAAGCCCCGGCUAACUACGUGCCAGCCGCCGC